UCUUUUCAUUGGUUAUCCUUCUUGUUGUUAAUUCUCUAGCCUAGAUACGUUGUGGACUUUUUAUUAUCGUGUCUCUUUCUUAGUAUUCUUUUGUCACUAAAUUCCAAGUUGGAUAAUUGCAAGAUAUCCAUUACCUUAUGCUACCUCUGGGAUAUAAAAGUAUCAACUACAUGUAGAAUAAUUGCGGAGGCAGCGCAAAUGAUGCAUUCCUUUUUGGCACCAUGCAAUUGAUCAAAUAAAUCAUCAAUCCUCGGAAAAGGAUAUUUGUUCUUAAUCGUCACUUUAUUCAACUGCCGAUAAUCAAUGCACAUUCUCAAAGAGCCAUCUUUCUUUCGGACAAACAAUAUGGGUGCUCCCCACGGGGACGAAUUAGGCCUAAUGAAGCCUUUCUCAAGCAAGUCUUUCAAUUGCUCUUUCAACUCCUUCAAUUCUGUGGGGGCCAUUCUAUAAGGAGGAAUAGAUAUAGGCUUAGGGUCUGGCAGCACAUCAACAGCAAAAUCAAUUUCCCGCUCGGGAAGAAGGCCUGGAAGUUCUUCCGGGAACACAUCCGGAAAUUUAUUCAGCACUGGAACUAACUGUAGAGUCGGCGAUGUUGACACCCAAUUUUUUUUAUCUUUCCAUUACUACUAUAAAUUUGGGAUUUGUUUCAAACUCGAUUCUGUUCGAGUUCUUUGGAGCUGCGGAUAUCCUUUUUUAAAAAAAAAAAAAUCAAUAUUCUUCAAUAUUAGCACCUUCGGGUAGUGAUUCAAAAUAUUAAGCAACUUUAUUCCUUUUCUGCCCCUGUUACUGACUUGAAUCCGAGCGAUACUCAAGCUCGGAGUUUGUUGGUGUUCGAGUGUAGAUUCGAGACCACGACGACCCCUGUUCACUGCACCCGAAAAAGGUCAGUAACUUUCUUCCCUUUUUUUCAUUUCCAGCCUUGUCUAUUUAGUUUAUCUUUGUAGCAAGUCGUUUUAUUUCUGUGGUAAAAUAGUUGCUGGAUCGCCUUUCUGUUAGUAUCAAAAUCAUGUUGUAGUAUGAGUUGUUGGAUGUAAAUUCUAAUUCAUAUAGGAAGCAUGACAACUUUUUGUAUUCCUUUGAAUUUAUGCGAUAAAGUGUGAGUCAUUAGCUUAGUCUCAACUCAGCAUUUUUGGUUCUUUCUUGUGAUUUCAUUUACUUAAGCAAGUUCAUACGAGUCAAUGGUUGCUUUUGGUAGAAAAAAUGAACAUACGGCCUACUCCUUCAUGAAUGCACAAUAUCUGAUGGUAAAUUGUAUUGCUCACAUGGGUGUUUUAGUCGCUAAAGUAUGAUUCCCUUCCUUUUCCCAUAGUUCUAGUUAAAGAAUUAGUGUCAAACUUCUCAGUAGAGGUUAAUGAGGGAUAGAGUCUGAAUGUUUCUUUUCUCGUUUAGUUAAAGUACAUGUAUGUAACUUAAGUCGUUUAAACAAUUGUUGCCCAGUUUUCUUUUUUUUCUCUUCUUGAAUUUUACUAAAUACAAUUUCUUAAAUCAGAAACUUAUCCGUGUCUCAUUUACAUGCUUUAACCUUAAUAGUACAUUCUUUGAGUUGGAAUAUCAAAUAUGAUGUAGAGAGUUAGCUUUUUUUUUUCUAGUCCAGUUUAUUUUUUCUUUGUCGUGAUCACUGUCACAUUUCUUUUACAGUUGGUUUAGUCUUUGUCUUUUUUGGUACUAAGUUAUGGUUCUUGAAUCUUUCAGCUCCUGUGAUGUUUUCUGCCAAUCGAAUUCGGCCUAUUUGUUGUUGAAAUGAACUGGUUUCGAGUUUUGAGGGAUUUUGGGCUAAUAAGAGCAGUAGCGCAGAAGUCAGUCCUUUGCUUUUUCUUUUUUUUUAUGAUCUGGGUCUGGACCAAAAGUGGCAUUCAAAUAACUAUACUUAAGAUCAUCUUUUCUUGUUAUGUACACAGCUUGCAUCUAUGCAUAUUAUAGAGUUAUAUUUACAUUGAGUAAUUAGUUUCUGUUCUUUUCUUCCUUACUAGUGAUUAACCACCGCAUCUAUUUACGUAAUAUCACUUGUUCGGCUUGAGUAUUGAAACUGCUCUGUUGUGUUGGUUGUCGAUUAUAAAAAUCUUGUAUGUUACAGAAUCAUGUCACCACUUCUAAUCUUUUUUCUCCUUUUCUUUUGCAUGACACACCGGAGUCGAAGGGUCUUACUUUAAGACUCGACGUCACCUCGCGAAGGCUUGAAAUGCGCGUCCACAUCCUCCUUUAUAUGUUUCGCUCUCCUUCAAAACUCGUCCGAACAAUAGCACAAAAGAGAGCAGCAAACAGUGUCAAGACAAAUUUACUAACGGCGCGCUAUGAUAGGAGCAUCGUCAGCGGGUCAGCAAGUGCCAUUCAUCCGGACUUUCCUGCUUUGGUAACAAUUUACAGGACGACAUAUCUGCUCGCUAGGAUCUGCAAUAUCAGCUGAUGGGCCUUGGAAUAUUGUUGGAAUUUUAGGUGAAAAUCUGGUGAAAAAGUAGAGGUUACUGGUCGGAUGCGAUUGCUCUGCCCGCUGCAGCAAGUCUGCCACGGGGGGCGACGGUCGUCACCACAGGGUUGAGAGAGUUAAUGAGGUCAGCCGCAGCAGUGGGUCAGACCGCUGCAAUGAACAUAGUGACUGCUGCAGCGGUCGACGGGAGGCAGAAACUGACUUUUAUAUUGCAAAUUUUUUAGUCAUUCACCACGUAGCACUAAAAAUAGUUCCCAAGAAAGUGAGAGGAGAUUUUCUAAGGCUAUGGUGAAGUUCUCCUUUGAAGAGUUUGUUACUCAUUCCAGCUCCUGUCGUCGAGUGUGAUCCGAAUCUACUUAACAGAGAUUCUAGGUUGAGCUUUAGCUAGAUCCGUAACCCGGAUACUCUUCAUUUGUACAUAACUGUUUAUUUUGUAUUCUUGAAACAAUAUUGUUAUACUUGAGAUUUUUACUUCAUAUCAAACUUGUAUCUCGAUAUAGUGACU